AGACCAACCCCCCGCCCCCUUUUUUUUUGUCAUGACAAGACGAGAACUUCCCCAAACAAACUGUCACAUCGCAGUUUGAGAUACUAAGAACGCACGCGGAAAAUAAAGCGUUAGGGGUUGUUUUGUGGGAACGCUGAGAGCGCUCAUGCCAGGGCCUGCAGAGCCCAUUACGAAGCGCGUCCUGCCCAAGGUUUUCCUCCUGAAAAGGAAAAUAACAAAACCCGUGAAGCUGCAACAAACAGCUCAUUUCUUACAGAUCUCACACUGGAGGACAACCAUUCUCUUCUCACCGCAAACUGCUCCAUUUGUCUCAUCACUCUUCUGGAGCAGAACCUAGUAGGUGCACCAGUGCAAGUUGACAGUGACUCCACCUCGGUCUGUGUCAUUUUUCAGUUUUAUAUCAGCAUAAGCAAGACCAGAAUCAAAUCCUGGUUUUUCUCCAAUGCGUUGGACCAGUUUUGGCAUCGUUCAGCUCUUCAUACAAAGACCCAGUGGCUUACAGCAGAGUAUCAGGCUGCAGGAGUGACAGAGAAGGAUGAAGAACCUUUAUCGUUUGCGUUACCUAUGAAUGGACCAAGCAAGCUGGCAGGUGCUCUGUAGUACAGCACCUUCGGGCAGGGUGGAAAGAAGGGCUGCUAAGGGAGGCCACAGCUCCAACCCAGUUUGCACAGGAGUGAAACCAGACCCUGAAGCAGCAGCAGAAAGGACAACAACUGAUAAAGGGAGAAAGCAAGAGAGCUGCGGCAGUGAUUUUCCAUUUUAUUUAUGGCGACACUGUGUAGCAAAAUGUAAAAAUAGAUCUCAGUGCUGACAGUUUCGUUGCUUCUUGAUCUCAGGCUGGCACUUUGGAGCUCCCACCUCCACCACCUGUGAGGAGCAGUGCCCGCGCAAAGGGAUCGGGUGAAGACUUGAACCUGAUGAAUGAGGCGACUCUCAAGAAAUCAAAGGUGAAAACAAAACAGGAAACAAUUUACAGUUUGUUUUUCUUGGAGGAGACUCGGGCUGAAUCUUGCUCUCCUGAAACUCAAGUCAAAGGGAUGAGUCUUGUGAAUGAUGAGAGAGAAGACUGGGAACUAGAGACACAGCAAAAUCCUCCCAAAGGGGGAUAUGAGAAAUAUCAUUAUAGCUGAAAACAGAAACAUCUGGCUUCUGUUACAGGCUUUUCCAAACAGUACCCUAUUUGCAUGACAGGUGAGCAGUGGAUCAUGCUGUGUGAGAGUUUUUGAUCCAAAAAAGCCUUACUGAAGGAGACAAUGAAUGUUUCAAAAUCAAUGGCCUGAACAAGGCAUCAGUGGUGAUGACCACACAACCAAAAAAGCAAAAAAUCCUAGUGAGGGCAACUCUAGCAAGUACAGAAUCCAUUCUAUCGUUAGCUUUUCUUUUGAAAGCCACUCUUACAGAAAUGCCCCUCUUAUUGAUUCUACUGCCAAGCCAUGCAUCUUAUUUUUUUAGGAGAAAAAAUAAUCUUUUAAAUGCAUAUAAGUAAUUAUUAAACAAGAACAAUCAAAUGACAAAAGAGACAGAGAAUGGUCAUGGCUUCUUUGUAACUCAGGGAAGGUGUUUGUAAACCAGAAAGGGAAAUAACAUGGAAAUAUCUUUUCAGAAAGGGACAACAGUAUUUAAUGGCAUGGAUACGUCAGCCUUGCUUGUUUUAAACAUUUUUAUUGCCCACUGCUGCAGGAAGCAGCUGCAACACCCGUUGUCAUUAAUACUGCAGGUGUGGUGCAAGUAUUGCCACACUCGUCUAAACUUUUAAUGUCCUCGGGGGACUGCACGGGGGAAUGACUUUGAUGGAUCGCAGUUGCACUUGAAACCGAGCUAGGAAAGAUUAUCGCAUUUCAGGCAGAGAGAUUCCACUCACCUGAUUGUUUUUUGUUCUGAUGAGAUAAUUUUUCUAAUUAACCUUGGUAACAUAGACACACAGGCCUAUCCACACAUAGAUGGAAAUACAUUUUCAAAUGGGCAUUUAACUUCUACCCGUGUUUUCUAGCAAUGAAUACAGAAAUUUAACACUUUGGUUGCCAACUGUUUCAUUUAGGAAACCAAAGCUGAACCUCUCUAACAGAAGCAGAAGUCGCCCACAAGAGCCUUUGGCAGAAGUCCACACUUCAUGAGCACCCAUGUGUUUUGCAGAGGCUGAUUGAAUAAGGAGAGCAGUGUGAACUUGAGGGCAACCUUACAGUGUCAGCUGCCAAUUUCUGUUUAUUCCUCUUUGAUGUUUAUUAAGGAAGUCAGUGAUGCUGUCCUUUUCUAAGCAGGGUCUGAGCAACUGAAAAAAUGUUUUCACAGCCAAAUCAUGCUGGAACCUGGUCCUUUGGAAAUGUUCAGUGUCUGAGCUUUGCCCCUCACACCAUCCCACUUAGGAACAGGAAGGACCAUCUCAUCAUCCUGCUGAAUUCACAUGAAAAUCAUCCUGGAAGCAAAAUGAACUAUUCCCCCUUCUCUCACCUACUUUGUUCAGUUUUAAAAUUACUCAAGUGCCCAGCCAGUGUUGCUUCCAGAAAUUUCUCAAAGCUUUCCGGAGUCCCCUUGCUCCUGUCUGGCUUUAUGCCAACGCCGAUUUUCUGCUACACAGAGCUGGAAAAGCAGUUCUCUGCUUCCCAAAAGGCGCCAUGGCACCUGCGAGAAAGAACAAGCAGUUCCCUGGUCAUCUUUUCACCACGUCCUUUGGACUUGCUGCGGGUGGGCUGAGGCGAGCGCUGCUCUGAAGGGCUUUGCCAGAGCACUUGCUGGAGCUGGUGUGUUUCUCUGAUACAUGAAAGAUGCUAAAGCUUGCUGAGAAGGCAAUAUAAAAAAUAAUCUAACACAUCAUCUAGGCUCAAAUGCAAUAAAUGUGAAUUUAUUCCUAAGCAUUGAUCCUAUUUUUGAGUCUCUGACUAUGGUGAUAUCAAUAGAGCAGUGUUUAAAAGGAGCUGCAACAUCAGUUCAUAAACCUUCAUACAGGCAGAAGAACUGAGAAACUGUAAUAUAGGUAACAACCUGUAUUUUCCUCAGGAGCUGGGAAUUCAAAUUCAGGGAGAAGGUUUAGCAGGAUACUUGGCACCAGCUAAAUGAAAUUUAAGAGAGGGCCAAUGUAUAUAUGAGUUUUAAGAAGACAGCAAUUUUAGACAUAUCACAAUUCUCUUUUAUCUCUUCAAAUGUCAUGCCGGUACCUCACCACAAAUCUGCCUUUCCCCUUCUCAGAGAGAGCCUACUCCAGUUUUUGCCUCAGCUAGGUUUAGAUGAAGCCAACAGUUAGCUGUCCACUUUCAUGGGACUUUAUAGGUCUUUUAACACAUCUGACAAAAGAUGCAGUUGCUGUGGGUGAGCAUUACUUUGUUAAGAAGAAGUGAUCACUCUGUGGGAUUGGCUUUCUUUACCUGUAGCAAGUUUUUGGUCUUAUUCGUCUUGAAAAAAUCAAUGACACUUUCCAUUUCUGAGCCAGUUUUACAAAGAUUGUAAAAUUAAAGUGUUUUGAAAACUAAAACAUGCCAAUACUCAGAAAUUAGUAACUUUAAACCCCAGCUGUGUCAUUGGCCUGCACAUGCUGGUGGGGAGCUACCAUUCACCCAAACCUCAAAAACAUUCUUCAUGAUGGUUCACAAAUAAUUUGCGAAAAUUUAGACUUGAUACUGUGUAUAUUUUUUUGGCUCAAUGGGUAACACAGUUCUGAUAAAGUGUUAUGUUUUUCGAGAUACACUUUGGUGAGGGUCUUUGUUUCACUUUACUAAUUUCUGAGGCAUACAGUCUUUCUACUUCAUCAGCCUUUGCUAUAAAUUUUAAAUGACACAGACAGAGAAAGAACAGAUGGAAAUAAUAAUAAUUGCUUACUUUGAACAUUGCAGGAAAUGCACAAUGACUAUAAGGUCUCAUCCAAAGUUAAUGCAAAGACUAUCAAUCUAUUGUACUUAUAUUGCUUUCGUUACUGUAUGAUCUGAGCAUCUCAGCAGCUUUCAGAAAUUUAUUCUCAGGACUACUUGAGGUGGGGGAGCAUAUUUUUCCUCAUUUCAUUGAAGCAGAGAAAGACUUGUGCUUCCCAAUGUCAUAGACACUGAUGGAGCAGGAAUUUGAAGUUGGAUGUUUCGGUGUAACCGCGUGGCCUGCGUUCAGGGUGGGUUCUGGGUCCAGCUCAGCCUGACAGGCAUUUGUCGUCUUUAAUCCCAAGCACUUCAAGCCAUAUGUGGACUACAGUACCAAGUGUGAUGACCAAGUGGACUAUAACAGCUGUUUAACCAUCUCACAUGCCUAAGUACAUCAAAAGCUAGUUCUAGUGAAGUGAAUCUCAAGAAUUUAUAAAGGCAUUAUGAAUCAUACCAAAAUCCAUGUGAUUUUUCUACUGUUUGCUAAAAUGGUCUUGUCCCUCUCAGGUGAUAUGCAUGUUAUUAACUGAACAGGGUGUGAACAGAAAAUCACUGACAAAGGAGUCCUGCUAAGCAUAAAUAACAUGACCUUUCUGAUAAUCAGGAGCAAAACCAGUCAGAAUAUCUCACUGAUGUUUCUUGCCCAUGUUUCACUGCCCUGGGCACCUGAUCCUACCACAUCUGUUAUCUCCCUUGAUCCACCUGCCACAUUGCAGUUGUACCUCCCUCCUGCUUUCUCACGGGACAUUCCCAGGGGCAGAGUUUCCCAUUCAGCAUCUUUUGGCACACUUGUGCCUUGACGUCCUGGUGCCUUCAUCCCACCAGUCCCAUCCAUGAUGUUCUACACUGGUGGGUCACCAUGCUCGUGGCUUGCCCUCCUGGGCCCAUGCACCACCGCAUCCCUGUAGCAUCGAGCAGCCACGAAACUCCUCCAGCAUCCCCAUCUGACACAGUGCUCUGCAACACCCUGGUGUUGGUUAUAAAGUUCCCUUGUAUAGGGGAUUGUGCACAAGAAUUUGGGAUACGGAGGCCUGCAUUGUGAGGAACACCCUCCUGCUUUAUAAAACAGGUUUGGGCCAAUCACAGCUGAAGGUUUUACUCUGCUAGAGGGAGGAUCAGUACUUCAUUCAUGCACUAAGUGGUAGAUCUUACCUGUUACGUUUUGUUCUGGAUGAAAGCAGUGUAAUAGUUUAUGUGACAAGCGAGCCUGCAGCAAACGGGGUGUCACCAGCAUCCACAAAAAUGAUUCUUGUGAAACAGGAAGCAAGAACAUUGGGUCUGAAAAGAGAUGCAGUAUUUUAAACAACACAGGAUAUAAAAUGAGAUUUUGGGGUUAAAGGUUUGGGUGAUUGUUUUGUUUUUGAAGAAAGAAAACCAGGAAUAAUAUGUGAACAUUCAUCAAACAUGUCUACACAUUUGCUACAUGUGCAGUGCAUGAAGCGUGCAAUUUUGGGUCAUUGUGUGUGAUACGUGUAUAACAAUAACAUAGAUAUUAAUUUGAAGUAAAUGUGUUCUGAAUACAGGGCUUGUGUGAUUUCCAGGAAGUACAUGAAGACAGCGUGAAGGGCUUAGCUAUGGGGAUUGGAAUAGGAGGGAGAACUCAGAAACCGUAGUUAAAGAACUUAAAAAGAACAUCUGAGAAGAUGAACCUUUUGAUAGGAUUUAAACUGCCUAUGGGAUUCAAGAGCUUUAAUCAACAAAAGCAGCUUAUUUCAUCAAUGUCAUGAGCAAUAGCAGAAAAGGCAUCAUCAGCGAAGAACACUGCAGAAAACAAUUUCUCUGGUUUAAAAAACUGUUUAGAGAAAUCUGAGACUCCUCCCUUUGUCUGGUGACCAUCUGGAUGGAUUUUGCUUUGGAAAGCCUGUCCUGAACUUGAAGCAAACAAACAUUUGUUCACAUGGUGGGAAAGAAAAGAUUGAAGCAAUGUGCCAGAACUGGAAAAGUCGCCCAUGCAUAUCAGUAUAUUUACCUAGAGCAAGAAAAAUGUGCUUUUUAUUUCUGGGACAUUAUCUUUAGUCCCCUUGAAAAGGUCUCCUUGACCAUCCUGAAUAGCAUAAAGUCAGGAAAAAGAUACUUCUUGUUUUCCCAUAUAUGACAUAUAUUUCUAUAGUACAUAUUUGCAUUCAGGAUCUGUUACCAGAAGACUCUUGCAGCAUAUUAGAGUCUCUGAGGGUUCAUUUUUAUGUUCCUUAAUGAGGUUUUAGCCACCCCAAAGGCAGUUUGUGGUAGGCAGUUCCCUGGGGAGGAGGUGCCGGCAGCCCAGAGCACACCACAGGGUUUCUGGUGAGUUCUGCAGGGCCCGUACCCGGCCAGGCAGCGGUGCCAGAUGGUGCCUCCUGCACCAGGCUGGGAUGCCAGAGCCAAACCCCGGCCAUGGUGGGCAGCUGGCUGUCACACUGAUGGACCCAAAGCCAUCAGCUGCUGCCAGGGCCCUAUCCAAGACCUAUAAAGAGGAAUAGAGAGUAAACUCUAUAAUAGGGAGGGAAAAUGCAACGAGGCAAAAAUGUUUAUUUUCCUUUACGGUUAGCCAUUAGGAAUUUGGGUGGCACUGUUUUGGAUGGACCCUGGGCAACUCUGUCUCUGUGUUUCAAUCUGUUCACUCAAACACUCAUUUAAAUGAGCUGGCAGUUCAGGUGAUGGCUGAUUCCCCUUUCAAGCUAUUUAGCAUCAUUGGCUGUUUCUUUGCUAACUGAAAUAUAUUAUAUCCUUUGACAAAAAAACAGUGACUGCUAAAAAUAUACACAUCAAACCCAGACAGCAAGUAAACUUUUACGUUCUUUAACAUUCCCGAUUGUCAAUAUUUACUAUACCUCUGAACCUGCCUCACCCAGUGCACAAAGUCAGGAGGAAUGUUUUAUUUCAUAUUUCUUCUUUUCACAGCUUUGAGUAUGGUGUAAGUAACUUUUGCCAUAAAGUCAGCUAACAUGAUCCUUAACCUUAGACACAUAUAAUUUACAAAUGUAAAAACGAUGGGUUGUCAUAUUUAUAUGAAUCCACAUAUAGGCUGAAAAGUUAGAAUAUUUGGAAGGACCUGAUACAUACUCCCCAAAGGACACUGAUAAGUUUUACAUUGACUCUUGCUUGCUUGUGCACUAUCAUUGCACUGGCAGAAAGACAAACGCGUUGCCUGACUAACAUAAAGUAGUUCGAGGCUACUUCGCUAGUGUAUAUUUUGACAGGCUAAUGUGCAUUUUUGUAGGUGCAAAUAUACGUAUAUCUAAAAUACAAACCUGGAAGAGUUUAAGUUCAAGAUGAAACACCUUUUCCUUAAAGACAAUUUUGAUAUUUUUUUGUUUUAAAAUUACCUUGAAGUGAACUACAAAUUAUUCAGUGUUAAAAGGAAUGGCAAAGGUUUAAAAUAAAGUAUAUGUGUUAAAAGACUUUAAAUUCCAGUUGAAACUUUCUGAAAUUUUUAUAGCAAAUUGAGGGCACCUAUACAGGCACAUAUUGCCUUCCCGCCAGCAUUGCAGACUCUGAGAGCUGAAUUAUUAGGAAAGCUCUUUUGCUGGAUUUCAGACAAAUCACUUUAAUGUGCCAAAAUUGAUUUGGCAUGAAAUCAUCAAUAGACCCUCCAGAAUACUAAUAGCAUUAAAGACAGAGGCCAGGGCUGUCAAAGUUGCUUGGCUAAAGUUGGGCUCAUAAAUUAGUAGUCAGGCACCCAAAUUAAAGUCUUCUGCUUCCAGAUGUGCUGUGUGUCUGUUGGUCCAGCUGAAGAGAUUGCAGCAAGGGACACAUGGGGGCACUGGGGAUACUGGGGAUGAGGGGAAGAAUUCUUUUAAUGGAUUUGCUUCUCAGCUCAAGUCUUCAUCUACAAGCCUCAGAUGCUGUAUGUAACAACCCUAGGUAGUAACGUAACCACUAUAGUUUUGUGCGUUUAUAAUUUUUUAAAACAAGUCCACAGAUCUUGACUAUGAAUAACAUGCCUUUUUUUUCAUCUUUCAAAAACACCCUUUCAACUCCCCUCAUGGCCUUGAGUGAGACUUCUCCCAUCCUCUGCUUACUUGUCCGUAAGACAGCAAAGAUAAUGCUUAUUUUCCAUGUAUGCUGUGAACAUCUCUCAUUAUAUUCAGAUACUUUCCCUAAAGCAAAAAUUUCCUGUAGGAUCUCUGGAAUGGAAAUAUAGAAGAAUUUUCUUCCCCCAAGCUAGUUGUACUUAUGGAAAUUAAGAGUGUGAAACAGCAUUUGGAUUGGGUCUUUAGGCAAUCAGAUACAUGCGUGCUAUCUCUGUAACAUUUAGGGACAGAAUCGUUGGGUAACAUAAAUCUGGUUUCUUUAGUGAAUUUUUAAAACUUUCCUUUGGUAGUGGUAUUGAUUCAGUUCAGCAGAGGUCUGGGCCUCUGCCUUUUCAGUAGCAACGUUUGCUAAAAUGACUGGGAAAAGUACUGUACAGGAGGAGAUCUGCAGCCAAGCAACAACUCAAGGGAGCUAAAACUGUCGUAGCUGAUUAACAGAAAUGAAAGCUGCUCAGAAACAAAUCUGAGUAUGAAUUUGGAGCACAAGAAUUAAUUGAGAAGGGGAUUCUCUUUGUACUUCUUUUAGUAGGUCAGACAGUUUAUCCACUAAGAUGCCUUUGAAGCUGCCAGCAAAAGAGGCGUCACUGUAAAGAUGAAACGAGCUAGUGAGUGAAGUCAUCUGUUUGUCCUAAACCCCACUAUUCUGAGUGAAUUAGUUGCACGGUGAGUAACAGAAGUCUAAGCCAAAGAUGCUCCACUAGCUUUUUCAAAGAGAGGCUAAGAAAGAGAUAUCUGUGGCAAGCGAUGAGCUGACAGUAACAUGCAGCCUCUGUUAGUGCAAGAACAGGGACGUAAAGCUGGAAGGGUGAAUUUCUGCUUCAUUCACACAGCUGUGCAAUGCUUCUGCUUUAAUAUUUCUGCUUUCGCCGCAGAAAACACCAAAGGACUGAAGGCACUCAUGGAACGGUGGUGCAGGACAGGUGAAAGUUACAGUGCUAUUGUGGUGACUUAGUAGACGACUAUUCACGUAGCCACACGGGAGUUUUUAUAUUGGUGUUAAUGGGGUGAGGCUCACAAGAAUUUGCACAGGAAUUGACCUCUAGCAUAGACGAAAAAGACUGCAGCUCCUGCUGAGGUCAAUGGGAGGGAGAGAUUUCACUAAUAACAUACAGAAAAGUAUUUGAGAAAAAGAAACGCGCAUUCAGAGCAAAGCGAAUGAACCGUUUGUUCUAAGACUUGGCUGUUUGAAGAUACUGACAGUAGAAAAAUUCACUUUUUAAAACUGCCUCUGCCCUUAAUGCAUAAAGACCACGUAAGAUGAUUGUCCCAAAGAGGGCAGGAAUAAAAGAGAUAUUAAGAUCUUGCAGUCCUGCUCUUCCUCAUCAGACAGGAGUUGUGGCAGAUCGUGCCAUCCUCUGCCUCCAGCAUCCAACCUUGUACCCAAGGAAUCACUCACCCUUCGCUGAGGAUCAGUUAGGUAUAAGAAAUGGAGGAAAAGAGGAUGCAGUCACAGAAUAUGACACAUUUUAGGAAGUAAAUCGUGAAAACAAUACUUCUUUAGCCAUAUUUUUCCACACCUAUAGCUCCAAAACCAAUAGAUGAGGCUUUUUGUCAUGAUGCUGUAUUAUGUUGUAUUUAUUGUUUUUUCCAGCCUAAAGUGCUUUGUGUGUGAGAUUAAAAAGCUGCAAGUCUCAGGCCAUCUGGCCAACCAAAUGGAUUUAGUGUACAGGAUCACUGCCAGAUGUAUGCCAGUUGUAAGUUUAAUUUUUGAACAUAUAAAGUGCCUGGGGCUCUGUGUCUGUUAUUCAGAGGAAAUCAUGUUCCCGUUUUCCAAAAUAAUACAGAUACAGUUUGAAUCUGGGUGUAUGGUCUCUUCUCCUUCACACUGUUUAAGGAAUAUUCUUUGUUUCUCAUAAAGAAAAACAAUGGCAAGAGAAUUUUGCAUAUAUCUGACACAUUAUGUAUUUUUGAUCACAUCUGUCUGACCUUAUGGAACAGUAGGAAACACAGCCAUAAGUUUUCUUAAGGAGCUUCAUAGAAUUUGUUUAAUUGAAAGAUAAAAUUGCACAGAGUACUUUAGAUUAAUUUGCACUUACAUUUAUUUAUGAUCAACUUGGAGAAUAAAUAUGUUUUCAAGUAUAUAAUAGUUUGUAAUGUCUUAAAAGUGAUAUUUAAUUGAUUUGACUUAUUUUUAAAGAGGAGCUGAUGGAAGAUGAGAUACUUUUUUAGCUUUAUAGACUGUAAGAAGGAUAAAGUGCAUUUAAUUUUUUAUUUUGCAAAUGUUCUGCCAUAACAAGUUCUACAGCACAUCUGAGAUAGAUAUUGUGGAAAUGAGGAAAGGUGUGAGCGCAGAUACCUCUGGGCUUUGCAAAAAGGUCUGGAGGGUUUUGUUCAAAACAGACCAGUUGAAAUCCAGGGUAGAGCACGAUUUGGGUGAUGGGAAACAGUGAUUUGCGGGUCUGGCUUUCCUGCCUAACGCACUGCUGCCCACAUCAGUGUAUUUCUUUGCUGCUGCGAUACUGAGGUUGAAUUACUUCCUCCUAAACAGACCUGAAGGCCCAAUGAAUCAGAGAUAAAUGUUUGGAAAGGAAAGAAAAACUUGUUUGUCAGGGCAGAGUAAUUCUCCCCUGUCUGAUGGAGCCGUGAGGAGAAGCCACUGAAAACCCAUUGUCCCCAGCAGCCAGGGGCUCCUGCAGCGGAUCUCGGUGCCCUGGAGAGGCACGGCCGCUGUGCCCACUGCAUUCCGCAGUUUCCAUCAAGUUAAAGUAUAUGUAGACAAAAAUAGGUACAAAUAUUUGGAAAAAGAGGGAUGGCAGUGUUGCUAGAAGCAGAGUCUCUGAUAGGAAUUUAUUUGCAAGCGUCUUGAUCACUGCAGACAAAUCUCAGUCUUCCAGGAUUUCCAUUAGCCUUGAGAUCAGCGUGCUUGCUCCUGGAGAUGGGUGGGAAGUUUUUGUGAGCAGCUCAGAUUGGUACGUUAGCAGCCCAGAUGAUUACGCAGUGGAAAGGGCUCCAUGUGGUUUUGGGUGCAUCUUUCCAAUGAAG